CCUAGCUGUGGCGGACGUGUCAGCUUGUGAGGGACACUGAGUUGCUCUUCACACACAGUAUUAUAUAAGCUAAAAGUCCAAAUACACCCCCCUCCACUAAUGGAUAUGGGUCUAGUAAAAGGAAUCUCUGCCCUUCAUCUUUUGGAGCAGCAAAGUGCUCACGUUCUUUUCCGUGAAAGCAGAACAUGUCUGCUGAAAGAAAAGCACCAUAGCGCUCUAAACUUUGAAUGCAGCGCAUGAUAUCUGGCAGAAAGCAUUUGUUCCAAGGCUCCCCCCGCCCCAACGCUGCCAGCUGGCAUUACUAUAAUGCUUAGUAAUGUGAGGUUGCAGAAUCUUUCUCUCCCUUCAAGAUUCCAUUGUUAAAGACAAUCAUAAUGAUAAACCUUAGCAAUUAUAUAGUUUAUUUUGCAUGUUCAAAGCAUAUCAAAUCACAUUAUCUCUGUAAUCUUUACAGAGAUCCUGUAACUCAUGCUUAGAUCUUUACGGGGUGUGACAAUACCUCUUUAUUUUUCCCAAAUGUGCCCUGUACUGCUUUCAGUCCCCCACUGCAAUGCUCUCAUGUUCCUAUUGCCUCUGCUCUUUUAACAUAUAUGAUUUGUUAUCUUGAAGCAUUUGUUUGUUUGUUUAAAUAUCAAACCAGCACAACUAAACAUAACUACUUAUUAAAGUGCCUGGGUAGGACAAAAUGUUUUCACAAAGCAUACAGGCCUACAGAGUUGGGAGGGCAUUCUAAACUCAUGGUACCCUUUGCCCGUACUCAUGUUCUGCCUUCUUCAUAAUCUGCUUUGUAAGCCUGUUAGUCUCCAGAGCAGCCUGACACCCAUCCUUUAUCAAUGAGCUUGACCUCUAGUGCCAAGUGACUCCCGUGGAAUGGCUGCAAAAUGCAUGGGCCAGCCCAAUGCAGCUUUCACGAACCCUCAAAAAUAUAUCUGUAUCACCAACAGAUAAUCCCAGAAACAUCUGCAAGAUUCCUGUGUAGUCAACAUGGCAAAUGUUGCAUUUUUAAAUGGGUAGCUCUGCAUGAUGACCUUCGUCGGGAGAGAGACAGGGGAAAUGUGACCUUGCGAAUUCUCCUCAACCUGUCAGCAGCUUCCGAUACCAUCAGUCACGGCAUCCUUCUGGAGAGACUGUCUGAGUUGCGGGUCGGUGGCAUCGCUUUGUGGUGAUUCUGGUCCUACUUGGAUGGUGAUGCUUUUCAGCCCUGUGGAGCCUUCAACGUGGAGUUCCUCAGGGCUCAGUUUGAUGCCCUAUGCUAUUUAACAUCUGCAUAUUUGCACUUUUAUCUUGUUUUUUUUUUUUAUCUUGUGAAC